UCGAUGCCUGCUGUCACCGGUGCGACCGCUCCAGGGCUCGCAGCCCUGAGGGAUGCAUCGAAGGCCCCAGCAAAUUUUACACCCCUAAAUCCCCCCUGAGAUGCCUCAAUCCUGCGUUGCAUCUGCUACCGCUAGCUCUCACGCAAAAGAGCCUCGGUGAAGGGACAGCAGAUGAGCAGGUCCCUUUCCUUUCCCUGCAGUUUGCCCUCCGUGUGAGGAAAAGCGAACACCAUUCCCAAACGCGGCUGGGAGCGUGGGGAAAUCCUGCCUUCGUUGGUGAAGAUACUGCAGAUCCGGUGGCUGAGUGACAUAAGCCCCGCUGCUGCCCGGGGAUUUUCUCCCCGGCUCUGUGCAAACAGCCUGUCGCUUGCUCGCCGCCUCCCCCGGCUCGGCUGCGAUUACAGGGCUCGGGGAUUGCUUUCUUCCGAGUAAAAGACUUACGGGCGCACGCAGCGCGACAAAGGAACCCUGUAAAACCGGGAGCAGAGCCGGUGUUUGGCCCCGCGACCCCCCUGACCCCGCAACAGUUUAGUUAAUGAUUCGGGUUAUCAGAUAUACUGGCUCAGCAGUGCAUCCAUCAUGGGGCUGACAAGGAUUCAAGCCUUCGAGGGGCGGGAAUGUGCAAACACACUCAAUCCUCGCCUGUCCAGCCCCCGGCGUGCCUCCCCCCUAAAUCCGAGAGCAAACAGAGUGUUUCCAUCGGGUGAAGAUCGGUGAUUUAUUGGGAAAUAAUGUACAAGAAGGGCCUGCAGGACCUUGGCCUGCCUCACGUGCAGAUUGAACCCACGCGAUGCUGCUAGCUGCCGGCGCUCCUUGGGGCUCGUUGAGGGAAAAGCAGCAAACAAACAACUGCGCUUUACUUUCCACGAUGGCCUUUGCCUGCUUCUCUGCAAUAUUUUCAUUGCACUGGGUUAAGUCCUGUGGCCCAAGUACCUUGCUGAAAUCAACAGCCUGCUGUGCUGAACCUAAGGUUUAUACCUUGCAUCCGUGCUAUUUCUAUGCCGCAGCUCUCUGCGCUCUUGCCCCUUGUCAAUUAUUUCUUUUCAGCCCCUGCCCAGGACACAGUGACCUCCAUUGCCCUAGAUACUGUCCAGUUCCUCCACCCCCUUUCUGUCGAUUAUUCUGCAAUAAAUCACAACAAUCUUCACAUGGUGAAAAAGCUCUGUUUGUUCUUGGAUCUUGGGGAAGUCAGUAAAAAUGCCCUCAGCCAGAGCAGCUCCAAGGACACCAAAAUAAGGCAGAGAGAACUGGUCCUGCAACAGCAACAGCCCAGGGUUGCCCAGACCUGGACCUGACCCAAACUCCGAAGGUUUGCAAUGGAUGGCUUGCCCCUGUGUUCUUGGAUUUCCUGAUACUUUCAUGCUUGAGCGAGGCCUGAAGCAAACUGCUGAAAUACGUCUGGUCAGCUCACCAGCUUUUUUUACGCUCAACAGACUUGGAAAAAUCUGGAAAUGCUUCCGCUGAACAGACAGUUCAGAAACGAGCUUGAACCCAAAGUCUCUAAAGAUCUGUCCUUCCUUCUGUUCAAAUCCGGUCAUAAAUUCCCACUCCCGUUUCAUUUUCUUGCCUCAUUACGUCGUGACUGUGCUGGUGCGAAGGAGCAGCCAAACGGCAGAUUGCUGCGAAGCCGGCUGGUGCCAAGGCCGGGCUGCGCGCUCCACGCUGGCAGGGCGAGCGGCACGCAGGCUCCGGGGACCUCUUGGACUGUGAACUUUUGGCUCUCCAUCUUGAAGAAAUACUUCCAGAAGACAGGCUGACAUGUCCUGGAGGCUGAGCCGACUCUGUCUAACACCAGCCAUCAGAGAGCACCAGGAGAUGACAGACUGCAGAGCGAGGUGUGCACUAACCAGCCCAACGCGCGUCUCCUUUGCAUAGCAAUUAUUUCAAGUAAGGCAAGUAGACAUAAAAAGGAAUAUUUUUCAAAUUCAGGAAGGACACCCCCACCACACCUCAGUAUUAGCAUUAUUUUCACCAGGCCACUCAAUUUGUUCUCUCCGGAUAAAUGCAGACUCUUGGUCAUGCCUGGUUUGCUGCAGCAUAGGCUGGCAUACAGGUGACUGGUGUUCCUGGGCAUUGGUACGUGCUUGAUAGACAGCUCAUUUCCACAUGUGCCAGAAAACUCCUCAGAUCCUCUGAGCUCGGCAUUUGUCGUCACUGAAGUCAGAGGCAAAACUUCCACUGGCUCCAGUGGGAGAAGGAGCCAGUUUCAUACAGCAAAUCCAUGCAUAUUGCCAUAUGUUGCUUUUUCUCCUCGUUCUAUUUUCCUUUCAUCUCUGCUUCAUCAAAGAAAUGGAGCUGAUCAUUGCAGCCACUCGGGGUGUUUGCACAAAGGCAGUAACUCAAGCCCUGGAGUAUGCUGUUUUGGCAGCGUAGUCUAGGCACUGCGUGUUGUUUCAGCUGACCUCUUCCACAGCUUCUGCCCUGGCCUCUUCACUACCUGCAGGUGGGUCUAACACAAGCCUUUCCUCCGGUACAUUUUUUAAAACCGCUUUCCUUUGACUCGCUUGUGUAUUCAAGCUGUUCAUUUCCUACUUAGCAGAAAAUCCGAAGGAGUUCAUCUGAAGGCCUUUCCACUAGGAAAUCUGCACGCUGCAUUAUUUUUAUGGCUCUGCAGGGCCAAGAGGGGCUCGUGAAUGGGAGCAGUCCCCACCACGACCCUCAAAGUGGAUGCUACUGGGCUUCGGUGCUGGUGAUAUGGCUUUCCUCCGGCGGGACAGUUACAUGUCACUCUCCGUCCUGCCACACUUGAUCACCCACGCUGGACCUGGCGCUGGACUGCAGCCUCAUGUGCAGGAUGGGUGCUGCAGUUCAAAAGAAAUUAUGACAUUCUUUCAUGUAACUGUAUCCUUUGGAAAUGAACCCUCACACUGAGGGAGACACCAAAGGCAUUCGGUUAAUCUUUGCAGUGGUCUGGACAGAUCCUCUGUGAUUCUUCCUUUGUAAGGACUUUAUUCCAAACCUGCUACAAUUGACCAAAGUCUUUGUAACGAGUUCACUGGGCCCCUGAUGGGUUUGGAGAAGGUGAGGGAUGAAAUUCUCUUUCACUGCAUUUCUCAGCUCUGCUUCCCCACUGAGUGAAAUUUCAGGAUGGAGAACAGUCAGAUUAAAGAGAGACAAUCCCAGCUGAAA